CGGCCGGCCCACUGGCAGCGGCGGCGGCGGCGGCGGCGGCGGCGAGGAGGGCGAGGCCGCAGGAUUCAGCACCCAAGCACCAGGACCAGACACCCAGCGAUGACCAGCUCGCCUGUCUCCAGAGUCGUCUACAACGGCAAGAGGAACAGCAGUCCCCGCUCCCCCACCAACAGCAGCGAGAUCUUCACGCCGGCACACGAGGAGAAUGUGCGCUUCAUUUAUGAAGCCUGGCAGGGUGUUGAACGAGACCUGCGCAGCCAGCUGUCUGGUGGAGAGCGGGGCCUAGUGGAGGAGUAUGUGGAGAAGGUUCCUAACCCCAGCCUGAAGACCUUCAAGCCCAUUGACCUGAGUGACCUGAAGCGCAGGAACACGCAGGAUGCCAAGAAGUCCUAGAGUGCCUGGCGCCAGUCCCCUGGCCUCCGGAAGAUCAGGGUGCACUUGAUGGUCUCAAGUUGCCCCUGUCACUGGGGGAACAGGGGUCUGGCUAUGUCAGCCCUUGUCCCUUUCCCCUGCCAGCUGCAUCUUGGGUAGCACCUGGCCCUGCCUACCCAGCCCUCUCUGCUGUUACCUGCCAUGCCUCGCGCCUCUCCUUCCUGGCCACCUGAGGUCAGAAAGGAAAAAAGGGACCUCUCUUCGGCUGUUGGGAUCUCGAAUGACCGGAAAUCAGGACUGUGCAAUCCCACCUGCAUCCAGUGUGGCCCUUUCCGUGGAGCCUGGACGUUUGGGGAGCUCCCUCAUCCCACUGUCCAUCUUGCCCCUUUCUUGCCUCAGUUUCAGAGUGGAGUCAACUCUGAGCAGAGGACAGUGCUGGCUCCUGAAGGGGCCUCUGGCGACCAGACCUGGUCUCCUGGUACCUGUAGCCCUGUGGCCACAGCAGUGCCCGUGAGCAGGGGCACUGAGGCUGACCUUGAAGGAGUGGUGCUGCCAGGCCUGUCCUGGCUUUCUGGGGUGUACUGGGAGGAUCACCAAGGCCCCCUUUUUUGUGCCCUCUUGAAUCCAGGUGUCUGUGUUGGAGACAGAGACUGAGGGUCUGUGAAUAAAGGCUGGUGGCACUGGA